GAAUGCACAUUGCAGAGCUUCAGAAACAGUGCCCAAGCCGGAUGAGUAGAGCAGAUUAAUCCUGGUGGCCAGAAUCUUCACACUUCGGGAAAGGCCAUGUGCACCCCAGAGAAAGAAAAACAGCACAAGUUCUGGCAUGGUGUAAAGGGGAACAUAUGUAGCAGACAUAAAUGUCGGAUGAAAGAAGAGAAAAACAGAGGAGAGUAAGAAACCACUCAGCUUCAUCAGUGCAUGAAAACACGGAUUAUAUCCCCGAGCUAAGCUGUCCUCUCGUCCCUCCAUCCCCAUCCCAUGCAUGCACCUUGCCCUCCUGCAGCCUCCCUCACCGCCUUACAGGGGAGCAGAGCACACACAAAACCUGUAACGAAGGCUGAGUGAUUCCUGAUAUAAAGCUGAACUCACGUGAUCAACCAAGGAAACGAAGAGGAACCAGUUUGACUAUUCAUUACAUAUUCCAUACUAAAUCGCUCUUUCCAGCCAAUGCCUAGAGAAGCUUCAGGGAAGUCAUUGGUCUUGGUUGUCUCAAGGAAGGUAAUCAGCCUUCCAAACAGACGUGGCCAUUUUGUCAAAAUUCAGGAGAUUUUAGGAAUACGUCAGUUUUAUGCCGAUUGCAUGUAGGAGAAAAGAAAGAAAAAAAAAAGAAAGAAAAAAAAGGAAAGACAUUAUGUCAAUGUCUUCCAAUGUGGGGUUUUGAAAAUGUCAUAUUUUCUGUUUUUAAAAUUACAUUAGAGCCAUCAACAUUGGAAUUAAGCCACAUUUUUAUCAAGCAGAAUCUGUUAAAGCACCUCCUGUCUACCACUGCAGACUGCCAGCAAGCUGCAAGGAGGGGGCUGCUCCAUGCAGGGGGACAAGCAGGAACAAAGGAGGAUCAGGAGGACCCUGUUGCAGGGGGAUCCCACACCACCAGCAUGCUCUCCCACAGCAUCUGCAUGCAGUGGUGCAGAGCAGGGUGCUGGCAACAGGCUCCACCAACAGCCCCAGACAAGGCAGAGGGAUGGACCACACCAGGACCCAGCCAGGGGUCCAGCCAGGACCAGCAGAAGAUGGAGCAGACAGGGCUGGAGAUAUGUCUCCAAGAGCCCAUCCAGGAAAUAGGGCGAGGGAAGAGACAAAGUGCAUUUACCAUGGAAUAGGCGCCCUGCCCUGAAGGUAAAUGGAGCCCAUGAGCCCAAUGACAGGGGCUGCACAGGCUGUCCCUGAUGAGACUGUUCAGGACAGUUAAGGUGCAUUGGUAUCCUCCAGGCCCUGCCUAAGAAACCUUCCCGAGGCUCAGUCCCCUUGGAUUAUGGCAAAAUCUCUUUUUCAUUAAUAAAGCAGUUGACCUCUGGCUCUCAGAGUACGUCUGAGCACAUCUAUGGUGCAAAUCUGGGAGGCAGCUACUUUGCGGAGAAGGUGGUGUCCAACUCCUCCGCUGUUUUGGCAGAUGCAAGGGCAUGGGAUGGCCUUUCUCCCCACUGAGUCCCAUUACCUUGUUCAUGGAUGAAAGCUUCUGGAAGUCCACUUCUUGUAUCCAGCUGCCAUUUAUCUACAUCCCUCCCACAGAGCCAGCGGGGUUUAUUUUUUUUAACCUACUGUUGGAUAAUAAGACAGAUGUCCGCACUGGGUCUUAUUUUGAAUAGAUCUAAACUAGAAACAAAUGUAUUGGAUGGGAUGACUGAAUGUGUAGCAUGUGCCCUGUUCCAGCAUGUCUGACUAAAGCAAGAAAGAGUGGCUAGCUCCCAUUUUAUUUUUUGAGGGAGCUGCUUUUAAGAUGGGAAAUGGAAGUACCCCAGCAAAGGAGGGGAUCCUUGCAGUAAGACAUGACUCCUGUAGGGAAGAGUAAAACAUAGGUGAGAAAAUAUAGCUGAAAACAUGCAAAAUACAAGAAAAGUUGUGCUUGCCUGCUGCCUUUGCCUCCUCUUUCGGUCCCCUGGGGAUGGACUGAAGCAUUCAGGUGGGGAACAGGACACCCUCCUGGUGAAAUCCGAGUUAAUUCUGGAAGAAACACAUGUUCACAGAUGCCUUUGAAAGCCCAAGGCUGUAUGUCUGAGGUGGAAAUCGGCGCUUGAACAGAGAUCAGAACGACCUAGGGAAAGAAGAGGAAGAAAACAAACCAGGGGUGAAGUGGAGCAGCAGAGGAAGGAGCACCUUCUCACAACACUGCCAUAUUACUGCUGCAAAUCCAUGGAAAAUAAAAAACUUGGAGAACCAGGGGGUUUGACUUACAGAAAGCACCUUGAAAUACAUGCCUGUGUAUGCUUUGUACCAUAAAAACCUUCUCUCCCUCUUCCAUGAAACAGAGGGUCCCCCAUACCAUGCGCCUGACAGGACACAAGGAGACCCUCAAAACCUCAGAAAGCUUAAAGUACACUUUUUCUCCCUGAAAAGUUGGGAUCUCUCAGCCUGCUGCAGUGGGAUAUCAAAGUCAGAGCAGAAGGGAUCUCCUGAUGUGAACAUGUCUCCCCCAUUUGGAACCAGCCAAGGAUUCACCUCUGGAGCCCCAGGAACCAAGAGAAAUCCUGUGGUCCCAGCAAGGAAAGAGGAGAAGGGGAUGUGCCCACCAGAACAAGGGAUGCAAUAAAAACAAAAAGGCUGGAAGAAGAAACAGGUUUUCCUGAGCUUGAAAAAUAUUCCAGAUACCUUCCUUUUCUCCUUUGCUAUUGAACAAAACGUGACACAGAUGUCAUGCAAAAAUCCACUGUCUUCUACUCUUUGCAAAUAAGAACACCUGAGAAACAGCAGACUUAGGUGACAUGAAGGCUGUCUAAUUUGGUCUCCCUGACCCUUACGAUGUGAUGAUGAGGUUCCUCCUACUUCAGGCCCUUGCUGCACUUGGUGCUCAGGCUCCACGUCAUCAGCUUGGAAAGCUGACCAAACCCCAUGAGGCUCUCCUGGGACAAUGACAGCUCAGUUCCUCCAUCGUAUGCGAAAACAUCUGCACGGAUGUCUGCAUUCCCCCUGACUUCAGUGCCAGUCUGCCAGCAGAUAACUCAGCUCAGGAGCUGAUAUGGAUGGAGCAGGGAGGACAUCGCUGCUGGCUCGUGUAUGGACA